AUGGCCCACACCCUGGUGCAGUUGGGCCUGUACUUAAAAAAAUACCAGAAGAGCUUUUUACGAAACUGGAGAAAAUUGGAAAGGGUUCUUUUGAUGAGGUGUUCAAAGGUAAUGACAGUCGGACUCAAAAAGUGGUCGCUAUAAGAAUCACUGGACUGGAGAAGAUGAGAUAGAGGACAUUCAACAAGAAAUCACAGUGCUGAGUCGGUGUGACAGUCCGUAUGUAAUCAAAUAUUACGGAUCCUACUUGAAGGAUACAAAUUGGGAACCUGGCCCUUUAGAUGAAACUCAGAUAGUCACCCUAUUAAGAGAAAUUAAGAACGGACUUGAUUAUCCGCAUUCAGAGAAGAAAAUCCACAGACGUCAAAGCCGCCAAUAUUCUGCACUCCGAGCUUGGAGAGCUGAAGCUGGCUGACUUUGGAGUGGCAGGCCAGCUGACAGAUACCCAGAUAAAGUGGAACACCUUCGUGGGCACCCCCUUCUGGAGGGCGCCCGACAUCAUUCAACCGUCAGCUUUACGACUCCAAGGUGGACAUCUGGUCACUGGGAAUAACAGAGCCAUAGAACUGGCGAAAGGGGAGCCCCCUCAUUCCGAGCUGCGUCCCAUGAAGGUUUUAUUCCUCAUUCCAAAGAACAACCCCCCGACGCUGGAAGGAAACUACAGCAGACCCCUCAAGGAGCUCGUGGAGGCCUGUUUGGGCAAGGAGCCAAGCUUUGGGCCCACUGCUAAGGAGCUGCUGAAGCACAAAUUCAUAACGCGCAAUGCAAAGGAAACGUCCUACUUGACGGAGCUCAUCGACAGGUGCAAGAGGUGGAGGCCGAGCAGAGCAGCAGACGACUCAGGCUCUGAGGACUCGGAUGCGGAAACACAUGGCCAGGCAUCUGGAGGUAGCGACUCCGGGGACAGGAUCUUCACAGUCUGAGCGAAGGAUCCCAAGACUCUUGAAAACGGAGCUCUUCAGGCAUCGGAUUUGAAAAGAAAUAUGAUGAAAGACAUCUCAAAGAGGACUUUCUCUCAGUGUUUAUCAAUGAUUAUUCCUCCUGUUUGCGGAGCUGAAGGAGAAGAGCCAGGCGUGUGGAAGGAACCUGGGGUCCCUCCAUAGAGGAGCUGCGGAGGUACCAUCUACCUGGCAGAAGAGGCCUGCCCCAGGAUCUCCGACACCAUGGUGGCCCAGCUGGUGCAGCACCUGCAGAGAUAUUCUGUAAAUUGUGAAGGAACUUCGUCCCACUGA